rnacentral:lncRNA from 1 species
CGGAAUCUCGAAGGUAUGAGGGUGCAAUGAUCUUCCAGAUGAUAGAGCGCCGAAUGGUUUUCCUUAGUUUCUCUCUAUAGGGGAAUGAGAGAAUGCCUUAGUUCUUGAGAGUGUGUUGUGGUGUGAUUGUUAGGAGAAAAACUUUAUCCUUAUGCCUUAUGAGCCUUAUUGAUGAGUGGAUAGUGUUAUCCCAUCAUGGAUAACACUAUUCUCAUCCUUUCUUAUUCUCCUCCACCUUUACACAUGAA